rnacentral:rRNA from 1 species
UACGUAGGGGGCAAGCGUUGUCCGGAUUUAUUGGGCGUAAAGAGCGUGUAGGCGGCCUGGUAGGUCUGCUGUGAAAACUCGAGGCUCAACCUCGAGAUGUCGGCGGAAACCAUCUGGCUAGAGUCCGGAAGAGGAGAGUGGAAUUCCAGGUGUAGCGGUGAAAUGCGUAGAUAUCUGGAGGAACACCGGUGGCGAAGGCGGCAUUCUGGACUGCAACUGACACUGAGGCGCGAAAGCGUGGGGAGCAAACAGG